UACCAGCUCUCCGAGUGGUAGGGAUGAUUAUUGGGCUUAAAGCGUCCGUAGCCGGCUUAGCAAGUCUCCUGUUAAAUUCAGCGACCUAAUCGUUGAGCCGUGGGAGAUACUAUUAGGCUAGGAGGCGGGAGAGGUCAACGGUACUUCCGGGGUAGGGGUGAAAUCCUAUAAUCCCGGGAGGACCACCAGUGGCGAAGGCUGUUGACUAGAACGCGCUCGACGGUGAGGGACGAAAGCUGGGGGAGCGAACCGGAUUAGAUACCCGGGUAGUCCCAGCUGUAAACGAUGCGAGCUAGGUGUUGGGGUGGCUACGUGCCACUUCAGUGCCGCAGGGAAGCCAUUAAGCUCGCCGCCUGGGGAGUACGGCCGCAAGGCUAGAAACUUAAAGGAAUUGGCGGGGGAGCACCACAAGGCGUGAAGCUUGCGGUUC
rnacentral:rRNA from 1 species